CAACCCUAACCCUAUCCCUUUCGACGGUUCCACUUGCACCCUACCCACAACCCCAUCCAUCGUAACCCGCCGCCGCCGCGAUACACGCAAAUCCUGCCGGCGCAUCCAACCCCGCCCGACGUGGACGCCAGAGAGGUGCACGACUUCCGCAACUCGUGGCACUCAGUGCGGUGGUCGUCCAAGCUCGUCCUCUGGCUCGUCCUCAACGCCUUCAGCUUCCUCGUGCCGUCGCCGCUCGCCCAGAUCUACGAUGCAAUGGUGAGUGGCUCUGUGAGGAGGCACACAAGCUCACAUUGGCGGCAGCAAGAACGGUGUCGCCUCCUUGGUGGGUGGCAACCAGGCGCACGACACCUGCUCCCUCCCACACCGCGCCAGCACCAGAAUACCGGCGUCGCGUCGGCGAGCACAGCGCAGCGCGCAACGGCCCGGGUGCAUGAGGAGGGGGCGUCGGCUGCCGAGGCCGAGGCUGUGACGAAGGAGCGCGGAGGGCGAUGCCGCUGGUCAGGUUCGAGGUGCGGAAUGAGGUGGGGCUGGGGGACCCCGGCCUCUACGGCGGCGGAGCUUCCGCUGCCGCGGGGGAGGAGGAGGAGCCCAAUGCGCUGCUCGAGGGCGUCGCCGUCGCGGGCCUCGUCGGGAUCCUGCGCCAGCUCGGAGAUCUCGCGGAGCGAGGCAGGUUCAUAUCCAAACAAGAAGCCACGAUGGAAUCUGGAUUUCCCCUCUAUCUGAUGGAAUCUGGAUUUGGUGCCAGUCUGUUUUCCUGUGAUUUUGGGAUACCAGCCCCAUUCCCCUUCAUGGAGGGUAUGCGUUGCUGUUGGUCGGCACACUGGAAUGGAACAGAUAUAGACAGAACCUUCAGGUUCAUAAGCAAGGAGUUGCGCUUGACCGAUCUAUGGAUCUCUCUAGAUGCACUGACUAAGGUGAAUUGAAAGCGGAACUAGACAUGAUGUUUGAAUUCGAGGGUGAAUUAGUAUCUGCAAACCAAAACUGGCAGAUUGUUUAUACCGACAACGAGGGUGAUAUGAUGCUUGUGGGAGAUGACCCGUGGGAGAAUUUGAUGUGGUUGUGUAUGAUGUACUUUAUAUUUUGGCAUACUAUGCACAAAAACAAAUGCCUUCUAUGACCAUCGUGAUUUAUACAUUUUCAAACAAAAUUUUAUGAU